CCCUUAGACGUUCUGGGCCGCACGCGCGCUACACUGACCAGUGCAACAAGCAUCCGUCCUUGGCCGACAGGCCCGGGCAAUCUUUGAACGCUGGUCGUGAUGGGGAUAGACUUUUGCAAUUUUUGGUCUUCAACGAGGAAUUCCUAGUAAACGCAAGUCAUCAACUUGCAUUGAUUACGUCCCUGCCCUUUGUACACACCGCCCGUCGCACCUACCGAUUGAAUGGUCCGGUGAAGCCUCCGGAUUGGCUCGCACCUCGGUGCCGCCGAGAAGUUGGCUAAACCUUACCAUUUAGAGGAAGGUGAAGUCGUAACA
rnacentral:rRNA from 1 species